UGUGUGUGAGGUGUGUGUGUGGGGUGGUGUGGUUGAUAACGGCUCACAUAACGUGUCGCGAUGGAUGACUUGGCUUCCUAUUUCGUUGAAGAACGCAGUAAAGUGCGAUAAGUGGUAUCA
rnacentral:rRNA from 1 species